UUUCUUUAAUAAUUCUUUAAUAAUAAUCCUUUUCUAUUUGUUUUACCUUUUUUCCCGUUAAAAAUUGGUUGGCGCCCUCUUUCGGUAUUUAUAGGCAUAUCCCAACAUUCUUGUUCUAUCUCAGAAUUCACAUUCUUAUUCAAUCGUUCUGUGGUUCAUGACAGUGACUUCGCACUGUCGUUUCUCGUUUCAAAUUUUAAGCCCCCACUCACGAACUCUGUCAAUGUCAAGUGAACCCUUCCUCUUUGUCAAAAUGAAGAAUAUUUUUUUAUUUUAAUCUUAAAAUCUACUUAAGGCAAUGUCUGGCCUUACAGCCACAUUUUCAAACAGACGUUCUUAUUUGGGUUUUCUGGACAAAUUACAAAAGAAUAGAACAACCCUUCACCUCGUGGGAGGACUUCCUGCAACUGGAGCCCCCAAUGACGCCGGCGAUGCAGCGAUAACCGCAACAUAGACACCUAAUGAACAACCGACACCUGUAGGCCUGGUGCCACGAACAUCUACAAGCCCCAGAGCACGUCGCAGAAUCAACAGCAAGACACCAAGAACCCGCAGACAGAUACCAAGUGCCAUCGAUAA
rnacentral:lncRNA from 1 species